UAUGAUGUUAUUAUAAUCAAACUGAUGACGCUGUGAUUCUUCAUUAGUUUACUCGUGAUGAGCUUCUGGAUUUGAGUGUCUCAGCUGCUGAUCUAUUCCUGCAUUCAGCUGAAUUAUGAAGGCUGAUCAAUGACUGGAGAUCUGUGAUUGUUCAUCAGUUUCUGCUGAAGAUCAAACUCUUCGGGUCCAUCAUGGAGGACACACACACAGAUCAGGAUUUGUCUACAGGAUGCAGUUCAGUUCAUCAGAAGAGAGCAGAAGCAGAGUCCAGCUGUGUGUCUAUGAAGAGUGACGCGUCUAUGACUCGACCAAUAGCAUUUAAGAGUGGAAACACAGGACCUGCUGUCAGCUCACAGAAGAGGAGGAGAGCAGAAGCAGAGCCCAGCUGUGUGUCUCUGAAGAGUGACUGGUCUAAUAAUCACCCAAUAACUAAUUUUAGGAGUGAACACACACCACCUGUUGUUGU